CUGACAGACUUAGUCUUAGCUAAUAUCAACUAAAGUUUUUUUUGGUCUUUCUUUGCGUUGCAGUUUUUAUUGUAUUUAAUAAGUCAUACUAGAUGGCGCUGGCAAAGAUAGUUCAUCCUAGCUCUAAAAUUAGAGCCAAAAGGUGAUAAAUUCCAGACAAAUCAAAUUUCCCUCCGGAUCAGUUAACUGAAUUGCCAGCUGGAGACAUUUGGGCUAUGCUUCCUAAUCGAGAUCUCUUUCGUUCCCCAGAUUUCCAGAGUCAAGAAAUCUCCAGAUGUCAUGAAUAGUCUCCGUAUUUGCACUUCCUUGCUAAAGGCGUUCCCCUUUUUGCAUAGACUUGUGACCAAGUUUAUUCGGCAAAAAGGCUCAAUGAAAGAAAAAAUAGAGGUGCAAAGGAAUAAAUAUCCACACCAAUACCUGAAGAUUAUUGAAUUGAUUGGUUUUGUUGGUUGUACUGUUGACAUGGAGCUUGCCUUGAAUUUAAUCAAUAAAGCUGUGUUGUUGGAGAAGAUAAUUAUUGAUACACAAUGUACAUGUGUGGAAGAAACAUUUCAUGUUUCUAGUGGUCCUGUUAAUAAAUGUGCAGCUAUAAAUUAUGCGAAGCAAUUGGAAACAAAGAUUAGCCCCGGCGGUGGAAUUGGUGAUACUAUAAGGGGACGUUUAUUUCAUUGUAAUAUGGUGAACAUUACAAUACUAGAAU